rnacentral:rRNA from 1 species
UUGNANUGGGCGCAGCCUGAUCCAGCAAUGCCGCGUGAGUGAAGAAGGCCUUCGGGUUGUAAAGCUCUUUUGUCAGGGAAGAAACGGUUGGGGCUAAUAUCCCCGGCUAAUGACGGUACCUGAAGAAUAAGCACCGGCUAACUACGUGCCAGCAGCCGCGGUAAUACGUAGGGUGCAAGCGUUAAUCGGAAUUACUGGGCGUAAAGCGUGCGCAGGCGGUUUUGUAAGUCUGUCGUGAAAUCCCCGGGCUCAACCUGGGAAUUGCGAUGGAGACUGCAAGGCUAGAAUCUGGCAGAGGGGGGUAGAAUUCCACGUGUAGCAGUGAAAUGCGUAGAGAUGUGGAGGAACACCGAUGGCGAAGGCAGCCCCCUGGGUCAAGAUUGACGCUCAUGCACGAAAGCGUGGGGAGCAAACAGGAUUAGAUACCCUGGUAGUCCACGCCCUAAACGAUGUCUACUAGUUGUCGGGUUUUAAUUAACUUGGUAACGCAGCUAACGCGUGAAGUAGACCGCCUGGGGAGUACGGUCGCAAGAUUAAAACUCAAAGGAAUUGACGGA